AGAAAAACAGAGAGGAAAGUUGCCACCGCUGCUUCCAGAACUGCAUACCUGAAUUCAACAUGGAGGUGGAGAAGAAUUGCACAAGCACAUCAAAUUUAGUGUGUCGCUGUCGAGAGGGUUACGUUUGUUUGACCGAUCCACACACACGCCUAUGUGACAGCUGCAUUCCUGUCUCCACCACAAUCCCAUCCUCCACCUCUGCUGAUGUCCCAUCAUCCACUACAUCCACCACUUCAUCUACUAAAAUUAAACUGGGUGACAGUAGUGUGGUGUGGAUUUUAUGUGGAUUAAGUUCUCUAAUGUUAUCCAUUAUCAUCCUUAUGCUGUUCCUCCGGCUCUGCAGGAAGAAAGAGAAGGAAUGUUUUAAACAUUGUGAGUAACACACACGUGAACACA
rnacentral:lncRNA from 1 species